CUUGCUGGUGUGACAUUCGUUUGAGUGAGCAGUUUGUAAGGGAAUGUUAUUAGCUAGCUAUCUUUAACAACGGUCAGUAAAGUAUCGAUUUGAUUGAAGACCAAUGGAAAUGCGACGAACAUGUCGACCAUAACUUUUCUGCCGUCACCACUCGAAUGUUCCAUACCACCAGCACUGCAGCAGCGUGUUUCUCUUGCGAGCCCCACUGAAAUGGAAACACCCAAGACCUUGUUAAACAGGAAAUAGACCAGGUCUGUUCGUCAGCCACCCUCUGUCCCCCCUGCGAUCAUGGAGGCCCAAGCAGGGGAGGAGCUAGGCCCAAGUGGUUCGGCUCCUGCAUCGUCUGACUCCGCCCCCAGCCCACAUAGCGAGGCAGUGACCAAUGAGCUGCAAGAGCUGUCGCUGCAACCCGCCCCCAACCUGCUGCCCCUGAGAGACAGGAAAAACGGUGAGUGCACGUUCUGAUU